rnacentral:rRNA from 1 species
GGACUACCAGGGUUUCUAAUCCUGUUUGCUCCCCUGGCUUUCGUGCCUCAGUGUCAGGUGUUGUCCAGGGACUCGCCUUCGCCACUGGUGUUCCUCUCGAUCUCUACGCAUUUCACUGCUACACCGAGAAUUCCAGUCCCCCCUCCAACCCUCAAGCAAAGCAGUUUCCAAUGCCAUUUCCGAGUUGAGCUCGGAGAUUUCACAUCCGACUUACUUCGCCACCUACGCACCCUUUACGCCCAGUGAAUCCGAACAACGCUUGGGACCUCUGUAUUACCGCGGCUGCUGGCAC